GUGCCAGCAGCCGCGGUAAUACGGAGGAUCCAAGCGUUAUCCGGAUUUAUUGGGUUUAAAGGGAGCGUAGGUUGACAUAUAAGUCAGCUGUGAAAGUUUACGGCUCAACCGUGAAAUUGCAGUUGAUACUGUAUGUCUUGAGUGUACAAGAGGUGGGCGGAAUUCGUGGUGUAGCGGUGAAAUGCUUAGAUAUCACGAAGAACUCCAAUUGCGUAGGCAGCUCACUGGGGUACAACUGACACUGAGGCUCGAAAGUGUGGGUAUCAAACAGGAUUAGAUACCCUGGUAGUCCACACAGUAAACGAUGAAUACUCGCUGUUUGCGAUAUACAGUAAGCGGCCAAGCGAAAGCAUUAAGUAUUCCACCUGGGGAGUACGCCGGCAACGGUGAAACUCAAAGGAAUUGACGGGGGCCCGCACAAGCGGAGGAACAUGUGGUUUAAUUCGAUGAUACGCGAGGAACCUUACCCGGGCUUGAAUUGCAGAGGAACAUAGUUGAAAGAUUAUGGCCGCAAGGUCUCUGUGAAGGUGCUGCAUGGUUGUCGUCAGCUCGUGCCGUGAGGUGUCGGCUUAAGUGCCAUAACGAGCGCAACCCUUAUCAUUAGUUACUAACAGGUCAUGCUGAGGACUCUAGUGAGACUGCCGUCGUAAGAUGUGAGGAAGGUGGGGAUGACGUCAAAUCAGCACGGCCCUUACGUCCGGGGCUACACACGUGUUACAAUGGGGGGUACAGAGGGCAGCUACCGGGCGACCGGAUGCCAAUCCCAAAAACCUCUCUCAGUUCGGAUCGAAGUCUGCAACUCGACUUCGUGAAGUUGGAUUCGCUAGUAAUCGUAUAUCAGCAAUGAUACGGUGAAUACGUUCCCGGGCCUUGUGCACACCGCCCGUCAAGCCAUGGGAGUUGGGGGUACCUAAAGUUCGUGACCGCAAGGAGCGACCUAGGGUAAAACCAAUGACUGGGGGCUAAGUCGUAACAAGGUAACC
rnacentral:rRNA from 1 species